CUCCCUGCCGAGUAAGGAGCCCUAUGUGGGACUCGAUCCCAGGACGCCGGGAUCAUGACCUGAGUUAAAGGCCGUCGGUUAACCAACUGAACCACCCAGGCGUCCCUCAAUAAUUAAUUUUUAAAAAUAUUCUUUUACUCUUCUCCCCAACCUCUUCCUAACAACUUCACAAGUCUUCUGUGUAAUAUAAAACAAAAAAAUAAUUCAAGUGUUCUUGCAUUGUAUUACCAAUGGGUAAGCAACACAUUAGUGGAUCCUGACAUCAAUAUAAUGGGUCAUGACCAGCACCAAAAAAAAGAGAAAAGAUCUAUUUGUCAUUUUUUGAGCCAUCUCUGUACUGUUUUCCAUUGCAGGACUCCAUUUGUCUGAGUAUCUAAAAUAGUUAAACUCAGAGAAGCAGGAGUAGAAUGGUAGUUGCAGGGGCUGUGAGUGGAAGGAGAAGUGGGGAGGAAGUUAAGGAGUAUAAAGCCUCAGUUACACAAGACGGAUACAUUCUGGUAACCGGUUGAGCAACAUUGUGUCUAGAGUUAACAACACUGUAUUGUACAAUCUAUUUGUUUAGAGAGUAGAUCUCAUGUUAAACUUUUCUACCAGAAUUUGAAAAAAAAAAAAAAAAGAAUCAUUAAGGAAGACGGUGAACAAAAGAAAGAAAUAAGAGAGAAAAGAAGGACUAAACUAGAAUCCGAAAUGUCAGAGUGCUUCUCACAUGUAUAAAAAUAGACACCAAGAUGGAGUUUGAUGUGUAUGGUAUUUAUUAGAGAUCAUCUGUGGAAAGAAGGUGAAGGAAGUGGGAUUUCUUCGUGGGAAAGAUCCUAGUACAAAACGGGCCAACAAUAGGAACCCUUUGGACAGCUCUGGAGCAGAAGCAGCCUAUCAGAGUGAUCCCUUGUUGGGCUGAAACGGCUGGGCCUUUGUCUCCUACAACAACCAGUCAAUGGAUGUGGGUCCCCCAGGAAGACCCAAGUUCUUGGGUUCUAGACUCCUGGAAUUUCCUGAGCGCUAGGAGCCCAUGGACCACACCUGAGUUAAAGCUAACAAGCUCUUGGUAUGAAACCCAGAGUAGGACUUGAACUCUGAGACCCUCAGACCAAUACCUGAGCUGAGAUCAAGAGUCGGAUGCUUAACUGACUGAGCCACCAGAUUUGAUCAUCAUUAUGUGGCCUACCAAAGCAUCCUUUUGAGGUUAAAGGAGUCACAAGAAGGUGACCUGCUAGCAACUUCCUUGGAAGAGAAGCAGCUCAACAAAGAACUUUCACGAAGGUCUAAGAACUUCAGGAUUAAAAUAAAGAUAAGGGUUUUUCUAUA